rnacentral:rRNA from 1 species
AGGACGAACGCUGGCGGCGUGCUUAACACAUGCAAGUCGAGCGGAAAGGCCCUUCGGGGUACUCGAGCGGCGAACGGGUGAGUAACACGUGGGCAACCUGCCCCUAGCUCUGGGAUAACUCCGGGAAACCGGGGCUAAUACCGGAUACGAUCUUCCACGGCAUCUCGGAAGAUGGAAAGUUUUUCGGCUAGGGAUGGGCCCGCGGCCUAUCAGCUUGUUGGUGAGGUAACGGCCCACCAAGGCGACGACGGGUAGCCGGCCUGAGAGGGCGACCGGCCACGACUGGGACUGAGACACGGCCCAGACUCCUACGGGAGGCAGCAGUGGGGAAUAUUGCGCAAUGGGCGAAAGCCUGACGCAGCGACGCCGCGUGAGGGAUGGAAGGCCUUCGGGUUGUAAACCUCUUUCAGCAGGGACGAAGCGAGAGUGACGGUACCUGCAGAAGAAGCGACCGCCAACUACGUGCUAGCAGCCGAC